CUCAGAGCACACCUUUUGCCUGUUUGAAUUUACAGACACCUCGAAACAUGAAGAUGUAAUGGCUUCUAAGAGACGUAUCAAGGUGUUGGUUGCUUCUGUGCAGAUAUGGAACGUGGUUAAAGUUUUAUAAUGGAAAAUCUGACAGGCAGUUAACUAAUCCAUGAGUCAUAUUUCGUAAGUGCCUAAAGGUCUCUGAUGUUCGACCUUCAUUUGAUACCCUUGCCAUCAUGGAGUUAUACAUAACCCAUCUGAAGAACAUUCUUUAUAUAGAUGACUGCAUGCUGCCCUUUUAUACCUGCAAGAAUGAGCGCUGCACUUACUGAAACAGGGAAGUCUACUGCCUGCCUUUCCACCCCUCUCUCUCUGUGGCUGUUUACAGAACUGCAGAGGUACGUUGCACGAAACUGACUUAAAUGACAGCAGUGGAAGACUUUCUGCUUAGUUUAAGUCCUCUGUAGGGCCUAGCUGAAAGUGCUUUUCAGGCUGUCAACUUCCCCUUAUCCUCCUUGUUUCCUGAUUCCCUGAGCUUGUGUAGAAACUGAUGCUGCGGCAGGGCAAGGUAAAGAACUGAAAAAUAAGUGAAGAAUUGUGACAGAAGAACAGGCGUUGCCCCAGGGACUCAUAUACUAAAACAUCUUGAAAAAAUCUUCUGAAAAACAGACCAGUUGUGAGUUGACAGUAUCCUUUUAAGAACAGUUUAUGUUGAAAGGUCCUAUGACCAAGUUUUGGCCAAGCACAAGUGUUAAUGAGUUUUUUGAAGUGAAAAGCAUUUAUAUAGACAAAAAUAGAUAGUACUGACAUGUCUCACAGUCAUUGUUUACAAUUUCUGUGUGAUCCCUUGUCCAGAUUUACAAUGAACACUUGCUGUCCCAGCAGAACUUAAAACGUUUAUGGUUUUCUCUUUAAUGCUAUAAUUAAAAACAGGAUGAUUUUCAUGGGACUAGAAUAAUAUGUAAUUCUUGUGAGAGCUCUAUCUUUUAAGCAGCCUUAUCUAAGGUAUAAUCCUCACUGACCUAAGCAUGCAGAGACAUUUUUUACACUUCCUUAUGUCUUCAUUGAGCAAUUAUACACCCUUAGGGUUAUUUCAACCUGAUAUCUUUAGAUAUCUAAUCUCUCACUAGUUCUUCACAUUUUGUGGAUGAAUGGAUGCUCCUUAUCGUGCAACAAAAAGACCAGUCUGGCGUCCCUAGGGCAGACCAUGCAUUACAGCAGAACUCAGAGAGGCGUAAUUAUAGAGGACAGGUAGAAAGUUAGCUCCUCGAAUGGGAAUUUCUUUGCACUGGAAUACUUACCUAUUUUGAUGUCUGAUGUUUAAUUAGCACUGUUCCUCUACAAAUACAUUUCUGCCAUGCGGAAACUUUUAACUUGCUUUUAAAAGUUUUGUUCUGAAAAUGGUUCAUGUAAGGUAUUUGAACCUGCUUUGUCUAGUAGUAUUAAUAACCUGGGGCAGACAGUGUUUAUAUGGUACCAAGCACCAUGAUGGCACUUAGUAAAUAAUGAAAUAAAUCACAGGCUUUGUUUCUGUUUAAACACUGUGCUUGACCUCUGUGGAUAUCUUCUGGAUCCUGCUCAACAGCCUCAUUUGGGUGCAACUGGAUAUUGUGCCAAUUUUAUUCCAGCUCCAUUAACGUAUGGCAACAAUACAGACAGUACAUCGCCUGACAAAGAACUCAUAGUCCUCCUCUGGAUUUAUGUAGCAAGAUUUUGGCAGUGGGGUGGCCUGCAAGAAGCCAGCAGCUGCCCCGUGUCAGAUCACAGCCCUUGUAGGAGCAGCCCAGGCCUGAGCUGCAGCCCAUGGAGAGCAGCCUGCAGAGGGGCAGGAGGGCUGAGGGAGCUGCCGCCUGUGGGGAACCGUGUGGAGCAGUGCCUGAAGGGUGGGCUCCAUGGUGCGGAGCUGUGUUGGAACAGUGCUGGGAGAGCUGCAGCAUGUGGAAAGCCCAUGUGGGAUCAGACCAGGAAGGAUGCCAUCCCAUGGGACGGACCCACACAGAACAGAAGCAGAGAGUGAUCAUGGAAGAGCAGAAGACAUGAAGCUUUAUGGACUGACCGCAGCCCCCUUUCCCUAUUCCCCUGUGCUCGUUGAGGGAAGGAGGUAGGAGUUGAGCCUGAGAAAAGGUGGGUGGAGGAGAGGUGUUGUCAGUCUGUUUUUAUUUCUCAUUGCCCUAUUACUAAUAGGCCAUAAAUAAAAUAAAUCUUCCCCAAGUAGCCUAUUUUGCUUGUGACAGUAAUCACUGAGUGGUCUCCCUAUCUUUCUCUCAACCGAUGAGCUUUUCCAUUGUAUUUUCUCUUUCUGAAGAGAAGUGAGAGAGCAGCUUGGUGAGCACCUAGUGACCUGCCAAUGUUAUCCCACCACAAAAACAAUAAAAUCCUAAGUCCUUGAGCCUGCACUAAGAAUACAGAGUCAUAGAAUCUCAAGGUUGGAAAGGACCUACAAGAUCAUAUAGUUCAACUGUUCUCCCAUUACCCUUGCUACCACAAGCCACUAAACCGUAUCUCUUAGCUCCUCAUCCAGACACCUCUUGAACACCACCAGGGAUAGUGACUCCACCACCUCCCUGAGCAGGCCAUUGCAGUGCCUGACCGCUCUCUGAGAGAAAAAGUUUUUCCUUGUGUCUAAUAUCCACCAGGACUCCUAAUUUGUGUACAGGUAGAUGAGUAAAGUAGAAAAGGAAAGUGAUGAAUGCAUCCAAAGCAACAAUUACAGCACAGAGGAACCAUUGUGUCCAAACUCACUGCCCUGCUCCAGGCUUUGAGAUGUAUUCUGAAAAUACAGUUACUCUACCGGUGAUGGAUGGGGUACCCAAGCACAUGAAAGCCAACGUAGAAUUGAUGGUGUGAAGAAAACUCAUGUUAGUUAACUGUUUUAAAGUACAGAGUGGAGAGAAAUUGGAAGGAUAAGUGUUAACUGCACUGUACAAUGUUGGCCUUCCAGACCCACCUGCAGGUGCAGAAGCAGAGGGUGGACGUGCUGUAGAGAGGAACUGUGGGCUUUCCUUAGAACAGCCUGAGAGCAUUUCAGUAACCCCAGCGCUUAUGAUACGUCCCAGGGAAAUCAUACUGCAGCUGACUGCCUAGGUCACAUAUGUUUUUAAUAGAAACAUUGAAAAUUGUUUCAAGAUUGAGGCGUGUACAUGUUAAACGUUGAGGAGCUGAAGAACACAUAGAACUGUACUAAAUUGGUUUCUCAUACAGGCUGACAAAACACUCGGGAUGCAUCCUAAUCCCAAGUGCUCCCAUAAAAGCCUGCGUAUCCUUGUCCUCUCCAACCACCAAAUCAAUCUUAAACUUUUAGGCGAGGUUGCUGAACUUGCAGUCUGAUUUAAUCACUUUUCCGUCAGGAAUUGGCAAAGCUGAGAAAUAGUCUGUGGCUAACUUCAGCGUGUUUUAUAUGUUUGUGAUAUCUGUACUUUUCUAUUUUCAACGUAUAACUAAUAAAAAAAAUAAUCCCCAUUAUGCAUUUGUUAUGGAAUAAUAAUACUUACAGGAAUCAAAAGAUUACUACUAUAUGUCUUCUUUACUGCAGAAGGAGUUACAAUGAGGAGCCCUGAGGUGGCCCAGAGGGCAGGAAAGGACAACAUUCAAAACUCCAGCAACCAGUGAAAGAGGAAUUAAGGUAUUACUCACCGAAGCCUCUACAAAACCAGGCUUAAAUGCAGUUGGAAGCCUUUGCCAACUCUGGAACUCAAAUUAAAGUCUGCUAUCCCAGAAGCAAUAGCAGCCAGAGGGAAUUGGGAAGGGAUCAAGGAAGAGUGGGGUGGGAGACAAAAUCUCAAAGACCACCAAGAUGAGAGGUAUUCACCACCUUAGGCAUUAUCACACGAAGGCUGCAUGCCCUGCGGAGCCUUGAUUGCCCAACAGAAGUUAAUAUGUUGAGCACAGGGUUUCUUGGUCAGUUAUGGAGGAGGCCAAGCUAGACAAUCUGAGUCUGAAUAGUUUACAACGUGGAGUUUGAGUUUGAGCACCCUGCUGCUUGCUCUGUGAUAGUAGCUAUAGCAGUACUGAGUGGUAAAUGAGUGAGUAACGCAAGCUGGCAGAGCUGAGGCUGCAGUAAGAGGCACAUGCAUAUCUCGAUGGUUCAGGCAUGCCCCAUGUCAGCCGUGAAUUCUGCAGUUUGUGUUAAUAAGUGGAGCAUGCAAGUUGUCUGCUUGCCAUAGGGUGAGUGGCAGCCAGGCAGCCUGCAAAAAUGGAUGUCGUGGGGGCACCGAAACAAGGAGCUGAACGUACUAUCUUGAAAGAAAUCUCUACAGAAAGAAAAAAGGGAGAUACCAUUCUGCAUGUCUGGGCUAGUGUGAAUUCAUCAGGCUUUGUGUUUGAAUGGGAGCCAGGUGUAGCGUACAAGUAACUCCUGUUUGCUCUGCUUGACCUAAAUCCAAGUUUUGCUUUGUCAGGUUUUGUCCGACAUGUGUUCUGUUUCCCUACUGCGUAGUAACAGCGCUAGAGGCUGGGUGUUAGCACUGGCAAUCUGAUGAUUCAGUCACUCAAGUAUGAAGGCCAUACUGUGGCAAUAGGGAGGAAGUGAGGACGUGUAACCUUACCAUGUGUUUUGUGGUGGUCGAAGGUUUCAGUUCAUGCUGAAAGAAUUCUUAUUUGUGAAAUUUCAAAAGGAUUAAAUGCAGACUGUCCUUGCAUUCUAGACGGCAGUCAGGCACCACAAGCAACCUGCAUCUCUGCCAACAAUGCAUUUGGGGAUAUAAUGCCUUGUUCAGUUAUUUAUAAAUAGGCAUUUUCCAGGAUCGACACCUACCAGAGCCCAGCCAUCCACCUCCACUGCCUCCCUUUCCUUGGCAGCCAUUCCUGCAGCAGAAAUGCAUGGGUGGCAAGAGUCCUCCAGCUGUCCUCAUCUUCAGUCUCACUGGUUUGGGGGUGUUGUGGUGGUAAGAGAAGCAUCUGCUAUUCGAGACCCUGUCUUAAACAGCCACAUUGCCAUGAAUAAGUUUCCAGUGCUAAUAGUCAGGAACUGUAGCAGAUAGGAAGACUGCCAGCUCUUGGAUACACACUUCUGUUUGGGUCACAAGAGGAAGUCACCCUCUUGUACAAUAUCUGUGCAAACACCAAAUCCUACUCACCUCUGAUGUUCACAACAAGUUUGAGCUAAGCAAAGCACUCUACCCAUGGACAAUGCUAAGAUGCUGGUCAUCUCAGAAGAAGAUCAAGCGAGCUUGAUGUUGAAGGGAGAGUGUGAUAUAAUUGAUUGUGAGAUAUGAUGAGAUAAAUCAGGCAAUUGAAAUUACUCUUGGGUCCCAAACAUGGGUUGUAAGAUUUUUCCAAGCAGUGAAGACAUUCAGCGCGCUGCACAUUUCAGAGAUUGAGGUUUGAAACCUAACUAAACAAAUAAUGAAAAUUAAAAAAUAAAAAUAAAACCAAUAAUGAAAUGGAACAUUGUUGUGGUUUAACUCUGUUGGGCAGCUCAGCACCACACAGCUGCUCACUCACUCUCCCCACGUAGGAUUGGGGAGAGAAUUGGAAAGGUAAGCAAAACAAGGAAUUCAUUUACAGUUUCCCAUUGGCAGGCGGGUGUUCAGCCACAUCAGGAAAGCAGGGCUGAUCACCUGUAACAGUUUCUUGGGAAGAUAAAUUCCAUUACUUUGAAUGUUCCAGCCAUCCUCCUUCUUUCCCCUGCUGUUUUGUUGCUAACCAUGAUGACAUAUGGUAUGGGACAUCCCUUUGGCUAAUCUGGGUUGGCUGUCCUGGCUGUGUGUCCUCCUGACUCCUUGUGUCUCCCCAGCUCCUCAUUGCAGAGCAGUGUAAGAAGUGGAGAUGUCCUUGGCUGUGUGUAGCACAGCUCAGCAACAACUGAAAUGUCGGUGUGUUAUCACUGCUACUCAUAGAAUUGUGGAAUGGCCUUGGGUUGAAAAGGACCUCAAAGAUCAUUGAGUUUCAACCCCCCUGCUAUGUGCAGGGUCACCAACCACCAGACCAGGCUGCCCAGAGCCACAUCCAGCCUGGCCUUGAAUGCCUCCAGGGAUGGGGCAUCCACAACCUCUCUCUAUUUUCAUUGCAGAUCCAAAACACGGCAUCAUACAAGCCUCUGCAAAGAAAAUUAACUCUAUCCCAGCCAAAAUAUGACAAAUAUAAAAUCUACAAACCAAAGAAAAAAGGUGGCGACACGUCACAGGGAAGGGAUAAAAGCAACACUUUUGGUCUGAUUAGGUGUAAAACACAUAAUGUUCCCAGUGUUUUUUCUCCAUUCCAAGUCAAGAAGUAUGAAGAGGAAAAUCUUAGUGUAUGCUCCCCUUUGUGCAUUGCACCACAUAGAUACGUGAAGGAAGCCAAGCUCACAUACCAUGUAGGUAUUGUAGUGACAUGCAGGUGUCACUACAGUGUGACAGUUAGAACUAUUGCCACUCCCAGAAGAACAAGGAAAUAUUCAUAAUGUGACCACGGAGAUGGGGGAAGAAGUGGCUGUAUCUUGACAACCCCAGAUCAAAUGUUAAUUCUAAGCAAAAGUUCAUUCUAUUAUAGGUUGUCAGGUGCCAAAUAAGAGGCCAAAAACAUAUCUUGAAAGCCAGAGAAUAAUUGCCCAUGAUAUCUGGAUCAAUAUCUCAGUACACAGUGCUCCAGGCACAGAGGGUUACCAGCUCUACUGUGAGGGAACUAAGAGAAAAAAAAUUCAGUGCAUU
ensembl:lncRNA